rnacentral:rRNA from 1 species
AAGAAUAUGAACUAAUGCUGUUUGGGGGAUGGUUCGGCUCAAGACGCCGAUGAAGGGCGUGACUAGCUGCGAUAAGCCUGGGCUAGGCGCAUGUAGCCAUUGAACCCAGGAUACCCGAAUGGGACUUCCCGUUUCUAUUCCGAAAGGAAGGGGAACCCCCUGAAUUGAAACAUCUUAGUAGGGGGUGGAAAAGAAAGCAAAUGCGAUGUCCUUAGUAAAGGCGAUCGAAAAGGACAUAGAGCAAACUGAACUUGUGAUACUUAAGUAUCAUAAGGAUGUGGUGUAUGGGCUCUACUUACGAUUACUUCAUGUGAAGCUGAAUUUAUCUGAAAUGAUAUACCGCAGAGGGUGAAAGUCCCGUAAGCGUAAAUAUGAAGAAUUUGUGGAGUACCUGAGUACUGUGGGUCGGAUAUCCUUCAGGAAAAAGGGAGGCAUCAACUCCUAACUCUAAAUACGUAUUGAGACCGAUAGUGAAUUAGUACCGUGAGGGAAAACUGAAAAGUACCCCGAGAGGGGGGUUAAAAGAACCUGAAACCAAACAGUGAAAGAUAUGCAUGGCUCAAAAGGAGCGAUUCUUCUUAAAGGAAUAUGGAGUAAUCCAUUAGUACGAGAGAAGAGGACUAGAGUCAUGCCGUACGUCUUGAAGCACGAGGCAGGGAGUUUUUGGUAGUGGUGAGAUUAAGAAUUUAAUUUCGUAAUCAUAGAGAAAUCAACAGUCCGCAGGAGUUUACUCUGAGGGACGGGGUGUGAAAGUGCCCGGAAUCACUAUCAAAAGACCCGAAACCAGUCGAUCUAUUCCAGGGCAGGGUGAAGCCGAUUAAUUAAUUGGUGGAGGCCCGAAGAGGUACUGACGUACAACUCGUUCUUCUGACCUUGGAAUAGGAGUGAAAGGCUAAUCAAGGCUGGAGACAGCUGGUUCCUCCCUAAAUAGGCCGCAGUCUAGCCUGAAGGGAGAUUGCAGACAAGGUAGAGCACUGAUUGAAUGUUUAGGGGGAGAAAUCUCUCGGCAUACUGUCAAACUCCGAACUUGUUUGCGUCGUAGAUCUUCGGAGUCGGGGGCGUUGGGGUAAGCUCAUGUCCCCUUAGGGAAAAAACCCAGACUAGAGUUAAGGUCCACAAAUUCUGGAUAAGUUAAAGGACGUCAUCAGUCUAAAACAGCGGGAAGGUAGGCUUAGAAGCAGCCACCCUUUAAAGAUAGCGUAACAGCUCACCCGUCUAGAUUGAUGGCUCCGAUAAUGGAAUGGAUUAAACCAGAUACCGAUACUCUAGGACUCGAAAGAGAUUCGCUAGGGAGGCGUUGUGAUAGGGCUGAAGCUGGGACGUGAGUUCCAGUGGACCUGUCAGAAUUGUAGAUCCUGCCGGGAGUAACAGCAAAGUGGGGUUGGAAUCCCCACCGCCGAAAGGGCCAGGAUUCCUCAGCAAUGUUCGUCAACUGAGGGUUAGUCGAUCCUAAGACUCUUUGUAACUCAAACGAGUCGAAAGGGAAACCCGUUAAUAUUCGGGUACCAUAAAGAUACUCGCGGCAACGCAAGUUCUUUCUUUGACACUUUGGAGUACGCUAAGUGGAACUAUCGUUCCAUCUAACUAUAUAAUUCCAUGGAGAUGCUUAAUGCAGAGAAGUGGAAGAAAGUAGGAAUGGCCUGACGUUUUAGUCGGGUUUGGCCGAUCUCUGGAGUCCAUGAAAAGAGGAUAGAAAUGAAUUCUUUAUGUUCGUACCGAGAUCCGACACAGGUGCCCCUUGGUGAGAAGCCUAAGGCGUGUUGGGAUACUCCAGUUAAGGGAACUCGGCAAAAUAGCUCCGUAACUUUGGGAUAAGGAGUGCGUACUGUCUUCAUUGGACGGUACGUCUCAGUAACGUGAGGGCUUCGACUGUUUAAUAAAAACACAGCUAGCUGCUAUCCUGUAAAGGUUUGUACAGCUGGUGACAUCUGCUCAGUGCCGGCACGUUAAGCCCGGUUUCAACCGGGGGAAGCGCCGGUAAACGGCGGGAGUAACUAUAACUCUCUUAAGGUAGCGUAAUACCUUGCCGCUUAAUUGGCGGCUUGCAUGAAUGGUGUAACGAGAGCCCUACUGUCCCUAACUGGAACCUAGUGAA